UACCCCACUAUGCUUAGCCAUAAACCUAGAUAUUAAUGUCCGCCAGGGUACUACGAGCGCAGCUUAAAACCCAAAGGACUUGGCGGUGCCUCAGAUCCCCCUAGAGGAGCCUGUUCUAGAACCGAUAACCCCCGUUAAACCUUACCAUCCCUUGUUUUUCCCGCCUAUAUACCACCGUCGUCAGCUUACCCUGUGAAGGUAAAACAGUAAGCAAGAUGGGCAAACCCCAAAACGUCAGGUCGAGGUGUAGCGUACGAGAUGGAAAGAAAUGGGCUACAUUUUCUACCACAGAAUACUACGAAUAGCGUUUUGAAACAGACGCUUGAAGGAGGAUUUAGCAGUAAAAAGCAAGCAGAGUGUCCUUUUGAAAUAGGCUCUGAGGCGCGCACACACCGCC
rnacentral:rRNA from 1 species